CAGGGUCUCUGGUCUUUGUCCUGCUCAUUGGAGAUGCCUGUUAGUGUGGGAAGUGUAAAGGAGAUCUGAUUUGUGUCUUGUAUACUUUUAUUUAAAUUCAUUACUGUGGCAAACCAUUAAGUAUUUUGGUCCGUCUUAAAUCUGUUUUCAGUUGCUACAGAGGAUGAAAAGAUCGUCAGGUUAUACCUUAACCAUUUGUGUGGCCUGAGGUUCUCCACACCAGAAGUGCCAAUGAUGGCACCAAGUACAGUCACUGGCUUGGGCAACGCCAUGAGCUCCACUGUGGACAGUAACAGACUGCAGUGUCUGGAUAUCCUGUCGCAUGGACUACUGUUAGGUUCCCACCUAUGCUAUUUUCUAGUUCAACACUUUUUCAAAGAGGACUAGAUGUUUUUACUCCUUUCUGACUAAAUGCAAUAUUAUGUAGUGCGGAUGGAGAAGUACAUCAAAUAAAGUCUUAUGAGCUGCAUAUGAAGCAUGAUAUAUUAUGUGAAGUUGUUUUCUCUCUGUUUAAAUGAUUUGCCUCAUAAUGGAACAAAUAUAACAAAGACUGCUUGUUUGGACAAUUGUGAAGUAGUGUUAAGCAGGUCACAGGACAUUUGUUGUUUUAUCAGGAAUUUGUUUUGAUUAUUUUCU